rfam:Dichanthelium oligosanthes cultivar Kellogg 1175 unplaced genomic scaffold Do_version_2_scaffold784, whole genome shotgun sequence.
UAGCUUUGUCCUAAGUCAAACUUGUCUAACUUUGACUAAGUUUAUAGGAAAAAUAUAAUAACAUCCACAAUAUCAAAUAAAUGCACUAUCAAGACAUAUUUCAUGGUCGAUUCAAUGAAACUAAUUUGAUGUUGUAGAUGUUGAUGCUUUUUUCUAUAAACUUUGUCAAAGUUAGAAAAGUUUGGCUUAGGACAAAGCUAA